GGGAUUGACGGGGGCAUUGUGAAGGGGGCUGGGCUUGAAGCAGUGACUGUUCACCAACCAGUUGAAAAUAUUUCAACAUUUUAAGAAAAAGUAUGACCAUGUUGGUACUGAUUAUCAGCCUUGGUCCUUCCUCUCCUCUCUUCCCCUUGGUAGCUGUAGCCUUUUUUGUCCUUUCCUUGCCUUCGCUAAUGUGGGGUGAUCCUCCCUCACUCUGUAAGUUACUUCUUGUGCUUCAUGUCCUGAGUGAAUCUGUGUGUGAGUGACCAGGAUCGUAAAGGUAGACUUACUCAUGGGAUGAGAAGGAAGCUAUGUGGCAUCCCUGUGAUACCUCCAUCGCCAUGGGAGCCAAGGUGGGUUAUUGGCAGGAAGACAGAGAGUGCCCAUGGUGGAAGAACAGUGUUCACGUGGAGAAGCGAUUCUACGACAGAUGCAUGAGUUCAGGUGAUCAGUAGGAACACCCUUGUAACCACCAUGAACCUGGAUCGUCAGCACUCGGUCUUCAAUUCCAGCCCAGCAGCACUGACGAAGGAAGCCCAUUGCUCACAUUUCUCAACAUGGUACAUGCCAGGCAGGCAGCCCAAGUGUCAGCCCAAACCUCUCUCUGAUUUCACACCCGGCCUGGCACGGUUGGUAAUGAUCCAGACGUGGGCUCUGAGCACAAGGUCUGGGACAGUGUAUUGCGUCUUCCACUGACUGCCUGAGUGCUUCUUGCUUACGUCACCACUCUAAACCAUCAAUCUAAAAUGGGGACAUUAACUGUUGUUAAUUCACAGGGCUGUUGUGGAAAUUAAAGGAGUUAGUGUUUGCGAAGAAGCCAGCAUGGUGCCUGGUGCAUAAAAAAUCUUUUUUCAGAAGCUAAGGAGUCAAACAACAUUUUGUGUGCGAUCCUGCUCUGUCUAAGAAUCCAGGACAGAUUGUGAUCUUGGUCUGAGAUGAACAAAACAAUAUGAGAAUGAAAAAAAGAAAGACACUUGGAACCAGUCUCUCACAGAAUCCUAAUCUGAUAGUCUUAAAAAAAAAAUCAUGAAAUUUUGGUUCCGAUGCCAGGGUACACCACCGAUUUAAGCGACAGCAUGUGUCACGUUGAUAGAACUCCAUAAAUGAAGUUGUCACAGUGGCAAACAAGACAGACAACCACCUCUAUGAUGGUUGUAUCUUAAUGAGGAGAUGGAGCCAACGGCCCUGGAUGCUCAUGUCCUCCCCACUUUUGGCAGCACAGCAGAGAGCUUGGAAAGGAGAUCUGAGUUAGUUGAACAGGCUAAUUACUAGUGUAUCAGGCUAAUGACAAGUCGCCAUGUUCUGGAGUAUCCCUUCCAAGGCCACCUCCCCGACCAGGGAUCUUGUGUCGUCUCAUGGAUGCUUUCCGACCUUGCCCCUCUUCUCAAAAGGCACACCACAAAUACACAGAACAUCCCCAGGGAAUGUCCUCCUUUAUUGGAACCUUGGCCAUGGGACAUGCAGACCACCUGCACCCGGUAUAAGACCUAACAAGUAACAAGAGUUAGAGACAAUGUAUAUGUUCUAUUACUUCUCUGGAUGUUUUUCUCCAAUAAACUCUGUAUCUGAA